CGUCAAACACAGGCAGCCGGAAACGGAACAGGAGACAGCGUGGCCGGGCGGGCGUGAUUCACGGAGGUAACCCUCUCUAUUUAAGUUACGGCCCGACCGGAUGUGGCGCUGCAGAGCGCACGUCGUACUCACGAGACGUCACCGGAAGGCGCCGCGGUCAGCAUCCACGCUGUCUGAUUCACAUGGUGAUUUCAAGGUAUAAAGUUACGGCCCGACCGGAUGUGGCGCUGCAGAGCGCACGUCGUACUCACGUGACGUCACCGGAAGGCGCCGCGGUCAGCAUCCACGCUGUCUGAUUCACAUGGUGAUUUCAAGGUAUAAAGACAACCAUUAUUGGAGGAAUUAAUAUCAGUUGGCAGAGAAUUUACCAGUUAUCCUGAUAAAGGAGAUUAUGUGGCCACAAAAUUAGACCUGCCAGUGGCUGCCAUUCAAACAAGCUGUUGCCCAGUUAUAUUCCUUAUUCAACUGUCUAUUCUAUAGUGUCUAUAUCUGUUGCGAUAUCAUACCCCCCAACAUCUGGAGACGUUGGAGGAACUCCCUGUCGCGAUGAAGCAGCGCCGCGGUCGAAAAGUGUGUAGUCUACAGAAAAGGGGUGUGGCUUUGCUGGAGUGCUAUUUUCCAUCACUGUGGGGGCAUUUCAUGCCCGGCACUCUGUGAGCUGCUGGCCAUGCCCCCAGUCCCUCUGUUUCCCAUCUAUUCACUGGAGUGACAGGAGCCUCCCAACUGCCCAAGCCCCCCUUCCCCCCCCCCACAGCGGGACACUGUGGCCGGCCCACGGGUGGGACUGCGGGACUGUCACAAAAAAACUGAACUGUCGCGCGAAAAUCGGGACAGUUUUGAAGGAUUAUGCAUUAUAAAAGCUAUAACCAGCUGGCGUAUGUUAGCUGUGGAUGCGUUAACUUUCCUUCCACUGUUUCAGAAUUGACCAUCCAGAAGCGCAUCUGACUAAUAAUUAUAUAGCCAUCACGCCUUCAUUGAGACAUUAUCUCACUUAUAUCCCAUUUACAUACCGUUAAAUCCCGGGUUUUUGCACGUGAACACGCAUCAACCAGUGUGCAAACUACUAAGCCCAGGGUCCCUGACUCUGCUCUUUACCAGGGUCAGGGCUGAGACUUGGAGAUUUCCUGGCUUGCUAUAACUGGCAAAUUCCCAGUAGCAUGUCUGCCCCUGCAGUGCCGCUUACACGCAUAAUGCCCCCUGCAGUGCUGCUCACACGCAUAAUGUCCCCUGUAGUGCUGCUUACACACAUAAUGCCCCAUGCAGUGCCACUUACACACAUAAUGCCCCCAGUAGGACUUACCGCCAUACAUGCUCAUUGCCAGGGGUUUCUUGCUCGUUGCCAGGUGUUACAUGGUCAUUGCCAGGGGUUUCUUGCUCGUUGCCAGGUGUUACAUGCUCAUUGCCAGGGGUUUCUUGCUCGUUGCCAGGUGUUACAUGCUCAUUGCCAGGGGUUUUCUUGCUCAUUACCAGGGGUUACAUGCUCAUUGCCAGGGGUUACAUGCUCCUUGCCGGGGGUUACAUGCUCCUUCCCAGAUGUUUCUAUGCUCGUUGCCUGGGGUUACAUGAUUGUUGCCAAAAGGUAGGCGCACAGUGCGCCGGCACUCCCGGAAUCUGCACUUCCAGGUAGCGCUGGGCACACUGCGCUUCCCCUGACAGACGCUAGAGGUGAAAUAGUACCUGUAGCAUCUGUCUCCUCCAAGGCGGCAGCCAUUUUUGGAGGGGCGCAGGGUCAUGCCCUGCGGCACUGGUGGUAGGAUGAUGGUAUGGUGUACCGGCACCAUAUUUCUUGAUGGUAUGCCGUACCACCCUACUUUCAGCACUGGUAAGGUGCUGGCAACAGCAUUACCUAUAACCCAUCACCUGCUGCAGACUGUCCCUUCCAAACUGAAAAUUUUUGCAGAACACAAAUAUGACAAAUAUUGUUACAUGUAUAACACCUGGCAUAGUAAUUUUACCUACAGCAGCAACUUUACUCUUUCAAUAGGGAGCAACAGCAUUCUUGGAAAUAGCUGCUGCAAUCCCACCAGCUAAAAAGUCCAAAGUCACCUAUCCUGGGAGCAGGGGCGGAUCCAGAAGAAAAUGAAAGGGGGGGCACCAUAAUAGGGGAACAGUAAUAGUUAUAUUUACAUGCACCUAAGGCACGCGUGCUCCCAGAUAAGGAGUGUGGUUCUCCUUUUUGAAAAAAAAAAGAAGUGUCAGUGAUCGCGCUGAGCCCCCCAAAAAAGUGGGUCCCACGGAUCCCUCACUUUUAAAAAUUGGGGUCCUAUCAGUCCUUUUCUGGGUCCCAUCGGAAUGAAGGUUCAUAUUAAUCUUAUUAAUUAUUCAAAUAUAAAAACAGACUUGAUUUGGACACUACAAAAGUAUUGCGAGGGGGAGGAGGGGGUGACAAUGCUGCUGGGCUGUGUAGCAUGCAGGACACUGCACCAGAGCUGUAAGUAGACAUUUCAGUGCCCUUUGGCAGAAAGUAAAUUGGUGCUCCCCCUGCCAUAUUUCAAACCAAGGACAGUGCGCGCCGAAGGCGCGCACCAAAAAUUUUGGGGUGUGGCUUCAUGGGGAAAGAGCAUGGCCACAUAACAAUACCAAUUCACAUUACACCACACAGGUAGAGCAUGUCAUAUACACAUUGCACCAGGUAGAGCACGCUAUACACACUGCGCCAGGCAGAGCACCCUAUACACAUUGCGCCAGGUAGAGCACGUUACACACAUUGCACCAGGUAGAGCACGUUAUACACACUGCACCAGGUAGAGCACGUUAUAUACACACUGCACCAGGUAGAGCACGUUAUAUACACAUUGCACCAGGUAGAGCACGCUAUACACACAUUGCACCAGGUAGAGCACGCUAUACACACUGCGCCGGGUAGAGCACGUUAUACACAUUGUACCAGGUAGAGCACGUUAUACACACUGCACCAGGUAGAGCACGUUAUAUACACACUGCACCAGGUAGAGCACGUUAUAUACACAUUGCACCAGGUAGAGCACGCUAUACACACAUUGCACCAGGUAGAGCACGCUAUACACACUGCGCCGGGUAGAGCACGUUAUACACAUUGCGUCAGGUAGAGCACGUUACACACAUUGCACCAGGUAGAGCACGUUAUACACACUGCACCAGGUAGAGCACGUUAUAUACACACUGCACCAGGUAGAGCACGUUAUAUACACAUUGCACCAGGUAGAGCACGCUAUACACACAUUGCACCAGGUAGAGCACGCUAUACACACUGCGCCGGGUAGAGCACGUUAUACACAUUGCGCCAGGUAGAGCACGUUACACACAUUGCACCAGGUAGAGCACGUUAUACACACUGCACCAGGUAGAGCACCAUACACACACUGCACCAGGUAGAGCACGUUAUACACACUGCGCCAGGUAGAGCACGUUACACACACUGCACCAGGUAGAGCACGUUAUGCACACUGCGCCAGGUAGAGCACGUUACACACACUGCACCAGGUAGAGCACGUUAUACACACUGCGCCAGGUAGAGCAUGCUAUACACAUUGCACCAGGUAGAGCACGCUAUACACACUACGCCAGGUAGAGCACGCUAUACACACUGCACCAGGCAGAGCACGUUAUACACACUGCACCAGGUAGAGCACGUUACACACACUGCACCAGGUAGAGCACGUUAUACACACUGCACCAGGUAGAGCACGUUAUACACACUGCACCAGGUAGAGCACGUUGCACACACUGCACCAGGUAGAGCACGUUACACACACUGCACCAGGUAGAGCACGCUAUACACACUGCACCUGGUAGAGCACGCUACACACACUGCACCAGGUAGAGCACGUUAUACACACUGCGCCACGUAGAGCACGUUAUACACACUGCGCCAGGUAGAGCACGUUAUACACACUGCGCCAGGUAGAGCACGUUAUACACGCUGCGCCAGGUAGAGCACGUUAUACAGAUUGCGCCAGGUAGAACACUUUAUAUAGAUUGCGCCAGGUAGAACACGUUAUAUAGAUUGCGCCAGGUAGAAUACGUUCUAUAGAUUGCGCCAGGUAGAACACGUUAUACACACUGCACCAGGUAGAACACGUUACACACAUUGCACCAGUUAGUGUUCUAUACACAUUGCGACAGGUAGAGCAUGUUAUACACAUUUUAUAUGGUACUAGGGAGUAGCGACAUAUGUAGCAGGGAGAAGGGACAGAGAGAGGCACCAGGGAAUAGGGACAAAGGUAGCAGGGACAGAGAUAGGCACCAGGGAAUAGGGACAGAGAGAGCAAGGAGUAGGGACAGAGGCACCAGGGGGUAGGGACAGAGAGAGGCCCCAGGGGAUAGGGACAAAGGUAGCAAGGAGUAGGGACAGAGGCACCAGGGGGUAGGGACAAAGGUAGCAAGGAGUAGGGACA